UACAGAGGGUGCGAGCGUUAAUCGGAAUUACUGGGCGUAAAGCGCACGUAGGCGGCUUUGCAAGUCGGGUGUGAAAUCCCCGGGCUCAACCUGGGAACCGCGCUUGAGACUGGAGAACUAGAGUUCGGGAGAGGAUGGUGGAAUUCCCAGUGUAGAGGUGAAAUUCGUAGAUAUUGGGAAGAACACCGAUGGCGAAGGCAGCCAUCUGGACCGACACUGACGCUGAGGUGCGAAAGCGUGGGGAGCAAACAGG
rnacentral:rRNA from 1 species